rnacentral:lncRNA from 1 species
AAGGUGUUCGAUUGCUGGGUAGUGCACUGAAGCAUCUUGGAGGUCCAACUUUGAAGUCGGUCCCUCGAGUACUGACUUCACCUCUCCCUUCUGUAAACUCAAUAAGUUUGCUAAAUAAUUAAGGAAAUUGAUUGCUUAAUUAUUUUUAAAACUCAUAUAUACAAGAUGCAAUAGCCCAAUUUUACCCAGACCCAAAUCAGACCAAAAAGACAAAAAAAAACUAAAUAAAAAUCCCAAAUAUUAACAGUCUAUCGGACCCAAAUUACAAGCCCAAAAAAUAAAAACCCUAAGGCCCAACAAGCCCACAACCUAAACAAAAAAAUAAAAAAAAACCCUAGCCCCCAGCCUGCUGCCGCUGCACCUAGCCCCUGACACCUCUGCC